CAGUAGCCGCGGUAAUACGGAGGGUGCGAGCGUUAAUCGGAAUAACUGGGCGUAAAGGGCACGCAGGCGGUGACUUAAGUGAGGUGUGAAAGCCCCGGGCUUAACCUGGGAAUUGCAUUUCAUACUGGGUCGCUAGAGUACUUUAGGGAGGGGUAGAAUUCCACGUGUAGCGGUGAAAUGCGUAGAGAUGUGGAGGAAUACCGAAGGCGAAGGCAGCCCCUUGGGAAUGUACUGACGCUCAUGUGCGAAAGCGUGGGGAGCAAACAGGAUUAGAGACCCCAGUAGUCCCUGUCUCUUAUAC
rnacentral:rRNA from 1 species